AAUAUGUCAGGAUAAACACUAGUAUUAAAGUGGAAAAAUAUUUAUUAUAGUCCAUUGAUUUUCAGGCACGUAUUUUCCAACUUUAACAUCUCUGAAAUUGUGGUAUGUCUUACAGUCAAUGGCAGAUUACAUUCAUUUUUUUCUUAUAAGAUGGUGUAUCCUUUGAUCAUGAAUGUCUUGGAUUUGAUGAAAUCUGGCAAAUUAUAUUAGUGAUUGAGCUUAGAAAAUGCAUUGUUCUCAUUCUUUCCUGUCUGCCCUCAGAUGUACGUGUUGGAUAAUUCCAAGCCUAUCUUGGCAUUGCAGCCAGGAGCUUCUGCAUCCCUCGCUUCCAAAGAGAACCAGUGAAACAUCUUUUUGUUCUUGCAGGUUCUUAUUGAUUGACCACAAGCAGAUCUUCCACCCUUGGAUCUCUAACUACAAAAGGUGCAAUGGGACCUUUCUGUCUUCCCCAGCCUUUCCAUUCCUCCAGCCCCCCAGGGUCCUAUACCCAGUUUGUGUGACUGUCCUUGAAGCUUUCCUGGAACCAUACUUAUUACCAGACCCUUCCCAAAGUGACUCACUAACAUUGGUCUCUCUGAUGGUGUCUCUGGGUAGGUAAGGGAGGGGGACAUCCCCUUGCCCUACUAUGGGGAGAGUGACUAACUCUUUUCUUGUCCUUUCUGGAUAGGAACCACUGGCUCAAUGACCUGUAAGGGUCAUUUCAGCACAUCCAUUCUGUCCAUCUCCAAGCCUUCACCAUAGGGAAGAACUUUUGCUCUCAGUCACCUCUCAGAGAGCUCUCUUUAUAGCUGAAGGUCCCUCUCAUGAGUUACAUCAAGAGUAACCUAGAAUUAUACCAGCAAUACACAGCCAUGGCCCCCAAGCUACUGGCCCGCAUCUCCAAACUCCUCAUGAUCUGCCAGAAUGCAGGCAUUUCUAUACCAAAGGGCAUCAGAAACAUCUUUGAGUUCACUUGGGAAGAGCUCAUCAGUGACCCUUCAGUGCCUACCCCGUCCGACAUCUUGGGCCUGGAGGUCAGCUUUGGAGCCCCCCUGGUGGUGCUCAUGGAACCCACCUUUGUGCAGGUCCCCACACUGAAGAAGCCACUACCUCCACCACCAGCAGCACCACCACAUCCACUGCUGCUGGCAACCACUGCCAAGCGCUCCACCCCCUCUCCCACCAUGGCCCGUCAGGUGCGCGCCCAGCAGGAGACCCUGAACAGGUUUCAGCAGCAGUCCAUCCACCUGCUGACGGAGCUCCUCAAACUGAAGAUGAAGGCCAUGGUGGAGUCUAUGUCGGUGGGUGCCAACCCCUUGGACAUCACCAGGCGCUUUGUGGAGGCCAGCCAGCUCCUCCACCUCAAUGCCAAAGAGAUGGCCUUCAACUGCCUGAUCGGCACAGCUGGGAGAAGUGGCUACAGCAGCGGACAGUUGUGGAAAGAGUCCCUUGCAAACAUGUCCGCCAUUGGGGUGAACUCGCCUUACCAGCUGAUCUACCACUCUUCCACAGCCUGUCUGAGCUUUUCCCUCUCUACUGGAAAAGAAGUCAAGAAGAAAAUAGGCAAAUCUAGAACUAUAGAAGAUGUCAGCAUGCCGCCCCCGCAUCGAGGAGUGGGAACCCCUGCCAACAGCCUGGAGUUCAGCGACCCCUGCCCUGAGGCCCGCGAGAAGCUGCAGGAGUUGUGUCGCCACAUAGAAGCCGAAAGGGCCACGUGGAAAGGGAGGAAUAUCUCCUACCCCAUGAUCUUACGAAACUACAAGGCAAAGAUGCCCUCUCAUCUAAUGAUGGCCCGCAAAGGAGACUCUCAGACCACCCCGGGUUUACAUUACCCUCCCACCGCAAGUGCUCAGACUCUCACCCCCACACCUCACCCAUCAUCCGCCAACCAUCUCUUCAGUCGGCAUUGUCAAGAGGGGAAGGCGCCCAAGAAGGCCUUCAAGUUUCAUUACACCUUCUAUGACGGCUCCUCCUUCGUUUAGUAUCCUUUUAUUUGGUGCCACCCUAUCUCCCCAGCUACUCAACCCCAGAGAACUCCAGGACUUGA
ensembl:lincRNA